AGCAGCGUGGUCUAGUGGAAAGAUCCUGGCCCCGGGAGUCAGAAGACUUGGGUUCCAAUCCCGGCUCUUCUU
rnacentral:tRNA from 1 species